GAGAAAUCAUGGCUUCCUUUAAGAAUUCAAGUAUACCGAGAGGAGUGUUCUUCUUUGUGCACGUUGGAAUUUUGAUUUGAAAAGUUCGGCAUUCAUAUCAGGGUGUAACUCUCUUAAUGGAUACAAAUUGUGAUGUUAGUUUUCAAAGAAUUAUCGACAUGUUUUGUUCUAAUCAACCAAAUGUGUAUCCUUACACAUAGAAGGCAUUGGGAGUUGUAGUUGGACAUCUACAUUUUUUCUUCUAAGCUUUGCUUUCCUGAUGUUGUAUCCUGA
rnacentral:misc_RNA from 1 species